AAUACCCCAUAGACUACGGAAGCUGGAAUGCUCUGUAGCCGAAAGGUCCGCCGCCAUAGGAUGAGUCUGCGGCCGAUUAGGUUGUUGUUGGGGUAAAGGCCCAACAAGCCUGUAAUCGGUACGGGUUGUGGGAGCAAGAGCCCGGAGAUGGAUUCUGAGACACGAAUCCAGGCCCUACGGGGCGCAGCAGGCGCGAAAACUUUACAAUGCGGGAAACCGUGAUAAGGGAACUCCGAGUGCCCGUAAAUUCGGGCUGUCCAUCAGUUUAAAUAACUGGUGAAGAAAGGGCCGGGCAAGACCGGUGCCAGCCGCCGCGGUAAUACCGGCGGCUCGAGUGGUGGCCACUAUUACUGGGCUUAAAGCGUCCGUAGCUGGUCUGUUAAGUCUCUGGGGAAAUCUACCGGCUUAACCGGUAGGCGUCUCAGGGAUACUGGCAGACUAGGGACCGGGAGAGGUGAGGGGUACUCCAGGGGUAGGAGUGAAAUCCUGUAAUCCUUGGGGGACCACCUGUGGCGAAGGCGCCUCACCAGAACGGCUCCGACAGUGAGGGACGAAAGCUGGGGGAGCAAACCGGAUUAGAUACCCGGGUAGUCCCAGCUGUAAACGAUGCGCGUUAGGUGUAUCGGUGACCACGAGUCACCGAGGUGCCGAAGAGAAAUCGUGAAACGUGCCGCCUGGGAAGUACGGUCGCAAGGCUGAAACUUAAAGGAAUUGGCGGGGGAGCACCACAACAGGUGGAGCCUGCGGUUUAAUCGGACUCAACGCCGGAAAUCUCACCGGAUAAGACAGCUGAAUGAUUGCCGGGCUGAAGACUCUGCAUGACUAGCUGAGAGGAGGUGCAUGGCCGUCGUCAGUUCGUACUGUGAA
rnacentral:rRNA from 1 species